rnacentral:rRNA from 1 species
UGGGGAAUUUUGGACAAUGGGGGAAACCCUGAUCCAGCCAUCCCGCGUGUGCGAUGAAGGCCUUCGGGUUGUAAAGCACUUUUGGCAGGAAAGAAACGUCGCGGGUUAAUACCCCGCGAAACUGACGGUACCUGCAGAAUAAGCACCGGCUAACUACGUGCCAGCAGCCGCGGUAAUACGUAGGGUGCAAGCGUUAAUCGGAAUUACUGGGCGUAAAGCGUGCGCAGGCGGUUCGGAAAGAAAGAUGUGAAAUCCCAGAGCUUAACUUUGGAACUGCAUUUUUAACUACCGGGCUAGAGUGUGUCAGAGGGAGGUGGAAUUCCGCGUGUAGCAGUGAAAUGCGUAGAUAUGCGGAGGAACACCGAUGGCGAAGGCAGCCUCCUGGGAUAACACUGACGCUCAUGCACGAAAGCGUGGGGAGCAAACAGGAUUAGAUACCCUGGUAGUCCACGCCCUAAACGAUGCCAACUAGCUGUUAGGGGCCUUCGGGCCUUGGUAGCGCAGCUAACGGCGUGAAGUUGACCGCCUGGGGAGUACGGUCG